CGUGAACGCUGGCGGCGUGCCUAAUACAUGCAAGUCGAACGAAGUGGCGCACGGGUGAGUAAUAUAUAGUUAAUCUGCCCUACACAGAGGAACAACAGUUGGAACCGACUGCUAAUACCUCAUAGUGUAGGAUGAGACUAUAUCGUAUCAGCUAGUUGUUAAGGUAAUGGCGUACCAAGGCUAUGACGCGUAACUGGUCUGCGAGGAUGAUCAGUCAAAUUUGAACUGAGACACGGUCCAAACUCCUACGGGAGGCAGCAGUAAGGAAUAUUGCGGAAUGGGGGAAACCCUGAAGCAUCAACGCAGCGUGGAGGAUGAAAUUUUUCGGAGCGUAAACUCAUUGUAUCAGGAAAGCGGUACCUGAUGAAUAAGCACCGGCUAACUACGUGCCAGCAGCCGCGGUAAUAC
rnacentral:rRNA from 1 species